rnacentral:lncRNA from 1 species
UCUCUUUUACGUAAAUUGAACGAACACAGUUAUUUACGUAAAUAGACGGAGUCAAGUACCUAUAGAAACAUGAGGAUGUGGAAUUCCAGCCCCUGUUCGGCUACGAUUCUUUAGGUGUUUUUUGUGCCAAAAUAUUUUUCAGAGCUCUGGUAUAAGUAAAUUCCUCCAAUUGAGUUUUUUUUGGUGCCAAGGUUCCUUUUUGUGUGGGUGGUCACAACCUUCGCUAAAAGAUUUUAGAAUAUUUUGAGAUAGUUAGAUACAAAUCAUAAAAACAAAUUCCAAAAGGCAAAGAAAGCGUUUGGUCUAAAUCAAAUAUAAUGAGAGCAGGUUUGCAACUGAUAGCCAACAAAAUCACGUCAACGUCUCUUUUCCUCUCUCUCUCUCUCUCUCUUUUUCAGUUUUACCAUCAUAACGCACCUUAACUUUUGUGUUCUCCAGAAGACAAAUUGGUCCCUUUCUUCCCUGCGUGGAUAAAAAAAAAAUAAAUAAAAAAAUAAAAAAAAUAUUAAAACACUUUCACUUGCACGCAAGUGUACUUUUAAAAUAUCACUGGAGGUGGACGUCCUUACCAAUAAAACGUUUGUUGCUGUAAAAAGUACUUUAUAGACGAGCGCAGCUAAACUAGCCACGAUGCAAACACAGUGACGAUAAGCGCGUUGUCUCUAGAUGAAAGAAUAAUCAUGUAUAAAUAUACUCAACGUUGCACUUAUUUCAUUACGUAUUCAAGUGCGAACGGAAAUGUGUACUCUCAAACAUCAUCGCACCUCAUCAGUGACAUCAUAAAUAUAUUUUAUUCGUUCAGUGCAGUGCGGUACCGUACCUUAAUCUUAUCAUCCAACGGUAGUCUUUUAAUGGUAAGAAGUGGAUCCCAUCUAAAUCAAUGCAUAAUGCCACGAGGACCUCCACCAGAUCGUAUGAAUAGACGCAGAGCCCCCCCACCGCCAUCUUUUGGAGUGGAACCACAUAGAGGACGGAUCUCACUAGAACCUCCCAGAGGACGACCCUUGCUAGAACCACCAAGAGGACGAUCGACCUUGGAACCACCUCGGGGACGGCCGGCAAAGUCCCCACGCAGAAAGAAUGACCGUAAUGCAGAUUUCCAGCGUGGCUAUGAGGAGCCACCACCACCGCGAAGAGAGCGAUUUUCCCCACCACCACCUCGCAGGCGCUCACGAUCACCGAUUGGUAAACCUAGAGAGCGAAUGCUUCCAAUGACUCCCCCUCCACCCAGGAGAAGUCUCAGCCCAAGACGAUCUAGAAAUCCUCCGCCACAAAAAUUGCAGAGGAGUAAAAGUCCAAAAACAGUCAUCGACAAAAGUUACGCAAGCUCCAAGUUCACAGACAGGAUAGUCGAUGAUGACCUCCUUGGAGAGAAAAAGAACAGUUUCGGCUCAGGUGUAAUGGACCGGUCCAUGUUUCGUGGUCCUGAGGCAUACACAUCAUAUGACCCAGAAGAGAUUAAAAAAAUAAGGAUUUUCAUCCGAAGGCGACUCACCUCCUCAGAUACAGAACCAGUAGCUGCAAAUCACUUAUCUCAAGAUGACCUGAGCUUCAACCAUCGUUCAGAGCGUGAAUCCUACCGUGAGCCCCCAAAAAUGAAGCGCCUUGAAGAGAACUUCAGAUCAUCAAAAGACCACCGUGGAAAAGAAAUGCCUUCCUGGAGUGAUCAUCCUGAACCAAUGAACAUGAGAGAUGCUCCUUCUCCGUAUGAAGAGCGAGCAGGCCCACCCAGAGAUCGAUACAGAUCCCCUCCGCCCAGUCGCAAACAUGACGACCGUAUUCCACCCAGAGGUUUCGAGCGGAAGCUGCCAAGAGAUGAUUUUCAUGAAGCAGAUGAUCACUAUCCUCCUCAACGGCUCAUGCACGAUAAUGGGCGUGCUGAAUUUGACCGCCGCCCCUCUCCUAUUCCAUAUGGACGAGGACGAGACGAGGGUUUAAGAGACGACAGACUGGAUGGACGCCCAAGACCAGGUGAAAAAAGGCUGUCUUCUGGGCGAUCAAAACUUGACGCCCCAUACCCAGUGCCUAGUGAGAGGAGACCCAGUCCAGAAUAUGUUGAUCCCUACCGUCGAUCACCUGUGGAUAAAUAUCGUAAAGCCCCAAGAGGGCGAUCAAUGUCCCCACAUAGAAGAUUAGGACCACCACCAAUGGAGAGGUCACAGAAUAUUGAUCGGCGCAGGGAUGGUCCACCCCGAGAAGAACACUUCCGAUCUCCACCGAGAGCUAGAGAAACUAUGAAUCACCCCAAUGAAAUGGCGCCACGCCGUGGCAGAGGUAGCAGAGGCACAGGACAUAACUACCGAGGUGGCCAGCCGUCUCAGAUGGGAGGAUCACCACCUCAGCGUCGUCCUGCCUCCGGCCGUGGCGGAUUUGGAAACCAGAUGCGUAGACCAUACGGGGGUCGGAAAUAAGUAAAAUGAAGUAGAAAUCUAUAACUUUUAUGUUUGUUGAUGUUUUGAAACUGUUCAUAUCCUUGGACACAUUUUGAAUUAUUUUAUAGUUUAAUGUCUAUUUUUUUAUGGUUUCGUAAGCUGUAUAACACAACUUUUUAGUCAAAAAUGUUACUUUUUUAUUACCAUUGAAGCAUCCUGCACUUACUCACCAUGGAAAAGAUUGCACAGAAGGUAGUCAAUCAGAAUUAUUUUACACGUCAUCAUGGAAAGUGUUCAAAGUUUUCCCAUUUGUUAUGCUGAAGGAAGUUGACCACAUUCUGUUUUGUGAGCUUGCUGUAUUGGUAAAUUACAUGAAACAUGAAACACAUUUUUCUGUUCUCUAAAUGGAAAAACAGUCCAUUGAUCUUACUCAAUUGGAAGUUGAUCAUCGUAAUUAUGAUUAUCUUGACUCAAAAUAUUAAUUAUUAAAACUUUUCUACGAUUAACUUUCUCAGUUUGUUUCCUUUGUGCAAUGAUCUGCAAACAAAUGCAAUUUUGGAAUUAUCAGAUUUUUUCUUCUUUUUUUCCCUUCAAGCCAUCAUUUUUAUUUUAUUUCAAUCUUAUGUAUUGAUCUGUAGUCAAAAAACAAUGACCGAAAAAAACCCCAAAAAACUUGGAGUUUUAGCAUCCAUCCUCAACUGUAUAUACCUAGUCUUAAAAUUUGCCAACUCUACCGUAUUUGGUCUCCUUUUAAGGAAAAUAUCACAAGCGCCAUUUUUACCAAAAUUGAGUUUGUUUUUCCAUACCAAAUUUAUAGUUUGUCAGAUAAAAAUUAUUAAAUAUGUAUGUACUUGAAAAAACGGUCAUCAUCUUUAAAAACAAUAAUUUUUCCCAAAAAAAUUUUUUUCAGGCAUUGCUUUCAUUUUAAUUUUUGACUUCUCACUUGUACUUUAUUUGAUUUAGAAUCAUGAGGAAUUUUUAUUUUUUAAUUGGUUCAUACGACUUUAAGUUUACUUUUGUUGCACAUAUUACGCUGAACUUUUUCUCCAAUAUUUCUUCAAAUAUUAUCUCUUCUUUAGUUUUUAUGUUUUCAUUAUAUUUGAUUGUUCCUCGAGCCAUAUAACACCUGAACUGUGUUUGUACUUUGUCACAUUUCAUGUUUCCUGGAUUUGCAGUCUAAAAUUCUACAUUGAUGGAUGUGCUACUUGAUCCACCUUAAAACAAUAAAAUCAAGUGUAAUCAUGUUUUGAUCUUUUGUAAAUAAUAAUAAUAAAAAAAAAAAACCUGAAGUGA